UCUACCUGAAACGAUUAAACCAAACAUCUCGCAUAAUUUCGCGAAACACGCGAACGAGAAGCCGAUCGUUACAAGCAUCUACGUGCGCGAGAAUCUUCGAAAGACUCGCGAUGGUAAAUAUUCGUUUGAAUUCAACAGUUUGCCGUUAUCUGUUGCAAGAUCGCGUUGUUAUCUCGCGAAAGGCUAAUUAUCGUCUCGCGAAUUUCCUCAUUCAGAAAUAGACACGUGAAAUUGCACUCGAAAAUGCAUGCAAAUAAUUGACUUGUGAAUUAUAACAGUGCAAACGACGAAGUCGAAAACAUGCAGGAAUUGAAGUUCAUCCGACUUUAUCGUGAUAUUUGGAUAUACGUAUGUACAAUAUAGAAAGAUCAAAUCCACUGAAAUCUUUUCUGUUUGCUUCUAUUUGAAUACUUAUUGGCGUACACUGCAUGCUGCAACUUAAACAUGCGUCGGAUACAAUCGAGAAUAGAUUUGAGAGAGUGGGUCUUCUUCUCUAACAGAGCCGUCGUCGUUCCUAAGGAGAGAUCUAUCUAAGACGGCUCCGAGGGUUCCGUGCAGCCCCCUUUUAUACUCUUACUCACAGUAGCGUACAGAGGGAAACAAACGAAGCCAUGCAUCGGAACUUGGCAUUACUCUUAAUUACUACCGUACUCCACAGAGCCUCGAAGAACGGUGGGUCGUUGGUAAUAAAAGCAGUAUUUCGGUUAGCAUCGUUCGAGCUGGAAGACGAAAAACAAAAAGAAAAAAAAAAAAAAAAGAGAAGGAAGUGAAAUUUGCAUUCGGCUGAGAACGAGCAGGUAUCGCAUGGAAGAGUAGCCUUCGUGACUCGGAAGAGCGCA